rnacentral:rRNA from 1 species
UUUGACCUCAGAUCAGGUAGGACUACCCGCUGAACUUAAGCAUAUCAAUAAGCCCGGAGGAA